UAACGGCGAGUGAACCGGGAAGAGCUCAAAUUUGAAAUCUGGCGUGCUCAGUGCGUCCGAGUUGUAAUCUAUAGAGUCGUUUUCCGUGCCGGACUGUGUCCAAGUCCCUUGGAACAGGGUAUCAAAGAGGGUGAUAAUCCCGUACUUGACACAAUGACCGGUGCUCUGUGAUACGUCUUCUACGAGUCGAGUUGUUUGGGAAUGCAGCUCAAAAUGGGUGGUGAGUUCCAUCUAAAGCUAAAUAUUGGCGAGAGACCGAUAGCGAACAAGUACCGUGAGGGAAAGAUGAAAAGCACUUUGGAAAGAGAGUUAAACAGUACGUGAAAUUGUUAAAAGGGAAACGAUUGAAGUCAGUCGUGACUGAGAGGCUCAGCCGGUUCUGCCGGUGUAUUCCCCUCAGUCGGGUCAACAUCAGUUUUGUUCGGUGGAUAAGGGCAGUUGGAAGGUGGCACCCUCGGGUGUGUUAUAGCCAGUGUCGCAUACAUCGGAUGAGACUGAGGAAUGCAGCUCGCCUUUAUGGCCGGGGUUCGCCCACGUUCGAGCU
rnacentral:rRNA from 1 species